UCAGGCAUUAUGAGGUGUAGCGUAUAAGCGUAACUUUGAUCUUUUGUCUCAAACAAGUCCCCUUGACAGGGUUCCACAGAAGGUGCAAGUCCUGUACUUGAGAUAAUUGAUCGAUAUUUGCGUGCUUUAGAGUCGGGUUGUUUGGGAUCGCAGCCCAAAGUCGGUGGUAAACUUCAUCUAAGACUAAUAUUGCCACGAGACCGAUAGCAAACAAGUACUGUGAAGGAAAGUUGCAAAGCACUUUGAAGAGAGAGUUAAAGAGGACGUGAAACCGGUAGGUGGAAACGGAUAGAGUCGGCGUAUCUUCAAUAUUCAUUACAUUAUUUUUAUGUUGUGACUCUGAGCUCCAGAUUGGGACAGAGGGAACAGCAUAAUUUUUGUGUGCAUUUACUUGUUGGUGCUUGGGGAUGUUUGAGGCAGAUUUGUUCCGCGUUUUGAGGCCAGCUUGCUGGUACCCAAACGGUGUUAGCAUUUUUUGUCUUGGCAUUUGAGUAUGGCUCACGUGAUUUAUUGGGAUCUGAGUGUAAGUUACGGUCGCAUGCGACACGUGCUUUUCAAUUAGUUCGGUCCAGUUAAUGCUCUCGUACUCGUUCCCCAUGUAAAAGCCGGUCAUCUAUCCGACCCGUCUUGAAACACGGACCAAGGAGUUUAUCGUGUGCGCAAGUUUUUGGGUGUUAAAAACUUAAAAGCGAAAUGAAAGUAAAUGACUCUUUAGAGUCUGAUGUGCGAUCUUGUAAAAAAG
rnacentral:rRNA from 1 species